UUUUAAAGCUUUAGAAGGAAAUUUUGGAAAGUAUAUAAAUUAGAGAAGUAAGUGAAAAUUUUCCAUAAUAAUUUUAUUUAAAAUAUGAUAUUUAAACUUAAUUUCAGAAAUUGCGAGCAAGAAAUUCCCUUCUCCGAUUCAGAGCAAGAAAUCCACCGCCAUCAGCCUCAGGGAUAUGGCCGGCGUGGGCAUGUCGGUGGUUGAAUGGUUUGCGACUUACGUGAUGGAGAAGCUGGUCGAUUUCGCCUCCUCCCGUCUCGCUGACCCUCACCGUGAUGUCUUCUCGGUCGUCGAUGAGAAGCUGAAGGAGAUGGAGGGCAGACUUCCCCGGAUCCACGCUGCUAUCCACGCCGCUGAGGGGCGGCCAAUCAGGGACCCUGCGCUUGCCAGUUGGAUGAGGCAACUCAAAGACGCCGCUUUCGAAGCGGAUGACUUACUGGACGAGUUGGAUUACAGGCAACUGGAAGCUCGGGUGCAGGACAGGAGCAAGGUGAGUGCUUUCGCCUCCUCAUCUCUUAGAUUUCUCAAGAAUCUGUUUGUUUCGGAUGAUGAACUGAGGAGGUUGAAGAAUAUCUUGGGGGAUCUCGAUAAGAUUUCUUUAGAGAUCAACCAGAGAAAGGCUGAACUGGAAGAGUACAACCACGCAAGGCAGCAGAACAGGGAGACCAGCUCAUUCAGCACGCAGGAGGUGGUGUUUGGGAGAGACAAAGAGCGGGACUUGAUCUUGGAGAUCCUUCUGAGCGCAGGAGAUGGGCCUGAUUAUGACGACACAAAGAGAGCGGGGAGCAGCCGCCACCUCGCGAAUCUUGAUGUGCUACCAAUUUUAGGCAUUGGAGGCGUAGGGAAGACUACUCUAGCGCAGCUUGUUUACAGUGACCAAAGGGUCGCUCAGCAUUUUGAGCUCAGGAAGUGGGUGUAUGUCUCGGACAAUUUUGAUGUCAAAAGGAUCGCCAUGGAGCUGGAAACCAACGUGACUUCUGAUGCCCACCCUUUCCGCGACUCUAGUUUGGAUGCACAGCUAAGCAAGCUCAGGGACGCCACUGCAAAUAAAAGGUAUUUGUUUGUGCUUGAUGAUGUGUGGGAUGAGAUAGAAAGCAGUUGGGCAAAACUCCGGAGUGCCUUAACAUUUGGGAGCAAAGGAAGUACCAUUCUGAUCACAACACAAAGUCCAUUAGUCGCAGAGAUCAUGGGGACUGUGAAGCCAAUCAAACUAGAACUUCUCGAGGAAGAUGAUUAUUGGAGACUCUUUGAGCAUUGUUCAUUAGGUGAUAAGGAGAUCGAUCUGGAUUUAAGAAGGAAGUUGGAGUUACUUGGUCAACAGAUAGCUAAGAAAAUGCAUGGCUUACCUUUAGCAGCGAAGACAGUCGGUAGUAUGUUGCGUUGCAGAUUAGAAGAGCAAUAUUGGAAAGCCAUCCAAGAAAGUGAAUGGUGGGAGCAUGAUUUUGUUGUGGAUAACAUACUUCCAUCACUGGGGCUGAGUUAUCAACAUCUGAGCUCAAAUUAUAAACAAUGCUUUGCCUACACUUCCAUAUUCCCAAAGGGCCACAUGUUCAACAAAGAACGGUUAGUCCAGAUGUGGAUAGCUCAAGGUUUUAUCCAGGAAAAAACUCUGCGAGGGAGAAUGACAUUGGAGGAUAUUGGGAGCCAGAUUUUUGAUGAAUUAACCAGCAGAUACUUCUUUAUGCGUACAGUGAAUGAUAGGUAUGUCAUGCACGAUCUGAUCAGGGAAUUAGCAGUGUGUGUUUCCAUUGAUGAAUGUUUAGUGCUCCAUGAUGAACAUGUCAAAAUUCCAGCAACUGUUUGCCACUUGACACUGAGGGUUGUUAAAAUGAAUGCGCUACCAGAAUUGAGAAAGUUGCAGAAAUUGCGAACACUUAUAUUCUAUCCUGAGUAUGAUAGUGAAUUUCUACUCUUACCAAGGGAUGGUUCUAAAGAGUUUUUCAAAUUUCUGGAAGGACUAUUGGAAGAUAUGAAGAGUCUCCGAGUGAUAGAUUUAUCACAAGAUCGCAGUGGGAUAAACAAACUACCAGAUGCUAUCUGUGAUCUGCCUCAUCUGCGAUUCUUGGAUGUUUCUUGGACUAAGAUCAAGCAGUUGCCUAAAGGUUUUCCAAAACUUUAUCAUCUGCAAGUGCUGAAUUUGAAGAGGCGUGGCACCUUCAGUAUUCUACCACAAGGAAUGAACAGGCUAAUCAAAUUGCGACAUUUAUAUGCUGAUGCUAACACAAUAUCUCUAAUACAUGGGAUUGGGAAGUUGACCGAGCUGCAGGAGUUGGAAGAAUUCCAUGUUUCAAAUAAGAGAGGGCGUCAAAUAGAAGAGUUGAAGGACCUAAGAUAUCUCCGAAGACGACUAACUAUCCAAGAUAUUCAGAAUGUUGAAUCAAAGGAAGAGGCAGUGGGGGCAAACUUAGAUGACAAGGAGAACCUUCAUGAACUGAUGUUGAACCGAAAGCCUGAUAUUAGAAGCCAAGGAGACAAGGAAAAGGAGAUACUUGAUGGCCUUCAACCACAUCACAAUCUCAAAUCACUUGAAAUUCAUCAUUACGGUGGUAUGAAGUCCCCAAGUUGGUUGGAGAACAAUCAGAUCACCAAUCUUGAAUUUGUCUAUCUAAAUAAAUGCGCUAGGUGGGACACUCUUCCUCCUCUUGGGAAACUUCCAUUUCUCAAGAACUUGGUAUUCAAGAUGAUGCCUUCAAUACGACGAAUUGGAAGGGAAUUCUUUGGUGACGGUGAUACAGUCUUUCCUUCAUUGGAGAAACUGAUAUUUGACCAGUUAAAUGAAUGGGAAGAGUGGUCUGGCACAGAUAAAAAGUCAGUUUUUCCUCGCCUUUUUGAAAUCAACAUCAUAAAUUGUGUCAAGCUAAGACAAAUACCCCUUCUCCCUUUGAGAUCAAUGAGUGUUCUUAAAAUUUGGAAUUGCGGUGAUAUUGGCACCACACUGCCUCAGUAUCUUCUCCAUUUAACCUCCCUAGUCGACUUAUCAUUGGAAAAUUACCCUCACAGAGUAUCUGUUUGCCUGUCCAACCUUACGGCCCUCAAAAAUUUGGAGCUGCAAAAUUGCCCAGAGUUGAUUUUACUCGGUGGAUUUCAAUCCCUCGGUAACCUGAAACUUUUAAAAGUAACAAAAUGCCCCAAGCUAAAUGAAUCCUCACAGCCUUUAGAGGAACCAUAUGUGGAAGAGGGUUUGAGAUCUCUUUCUUAUAUUAUUACUGACGAGAGUAUUAUCAACCAUGUCUGGGUCAUAGUGGGAAGGGCACAAGCUGUGAAGUCGUUAAUUUUAGCGAACUGCGAGCAUCUUAAACACUUCAAGCCAGAGCUGGAGGAAUGGUUUCAGCAAUUAACUUCCCUACAAGAGCUGCAGUUUGUGAGUUGUCCAGAUCUGCAAAGGCUUCCUGCUAAUCUGGAAACUGUUUUCUCCAUCAGGAGGUUAAUCAUCACCCAUUGCCCCAGUAUUGACUCACUGCCAGAGAAUGGCUUGCCGAUCUCGCUCAAAGAAUUGAAGAUCUAUGGAUGUAGAAAAUUGAAAGAUCGGUGCCAAAAGGAUGACGGACCCGACUGGCCAAAGAUUGCGAUGAUUCCCCACAUAGUCAUCGAAGGUGAAGUGAUAUCAGGAGCUGAAGAAGCUGCUUAGUUUCGGUAUGCUUUCUCCACCUUUCAUUGGCUAUCCAUACAACACUUUCUACCCACAUGCUUCGCGACGGGAAUGUGAAACAUAUGCUUGUUACAAGGAGAUUGGAAGACAUGAUGAAGAUAUAAUAGCCCAAAGAGUUUCCAAAUCCUGUAGAAAUUUUUUGUGAGAUAUUCUGAAAUUUUGAGGUAAGUAUUCUGGAAAAGGAGUAAUGUGAAACGGAAACUUUGCAAUCAAUUUUCUUGUUGAGAUUUAAUAGGGUUGGGUAGGCCGUAGGUGACGGGGACCGUAUCUAGAGCACGGAUCUCCUGAAUUAUUUUUUAUGAUUUAGGAGAUGUGUUAUUUGUAUUUACGGUUGGAUCACGGUCGCAAAUAGUUGCGAUCCCUUCGAGGGUUCACCGUCCUCAUCAGAUUAUAGUUUUUGUUCGGAGCGGACGCCCGGAGGCCGCCCGGAGAACACCCUCACUCGGCACCCAGUAACCUAACCACUUAUCCACCACCGGAGGCCUUCGGGCGGCCUCCAGCCGUCUGCUCCGAACAAAAAUUAUAAUCCGAUGGGGACGAUGAAUCCUGAAAGAAAUCAUAACCAAUUGUGACCGGAUCAUGAUCAUAAUUUGAUUAUAAAAUCGAAUGGCACAUCCCCUAGGCCACCAACAAAAUGACGCAGGAGAUCUCUCGUCAAAGAUACUAUGCGGUGCAGUCAUCAUUAGUUUGGUUGGGCAAAACAUAAAGAUCUUCUAUUUCCGACCCAAUUUUGAUCCGCAUUAGAUCCGGUCCCAGAAUAGCUGGAUCUGGUCGGUUCCGUACAUUAUUAUCGAGCAGGCGGCGACAAUUCUCGUUGACCAACUCAAACAAAAAGUAAAUGAAAAAACCUGCGUGGCAGUUGUUCCUUCGGUUCAUCAGUAAUACAUUAAAAUUCAAACAAGAGUAAAAUUAAUUAAAAAUUAUCCCAUCUGGCUUGGCUUGUUUUAUGUAGAUUGUACAGAAAGAAAGGGUGGAAGCUCAAUGCAUCAAGUAUAAAUAUAUUUCUAUUAAUCAGGAAUAAGAAAAUUUUAAUUUUUUUUUAAAAAAAUAUUUUCCAACAUAAAAUACCCUAUAAUUAAAAUAAUUUCCACGAUUAGAAGUAUUUAACUAAAUCCCUACUCAAGAGAGUCGACGGUUUAAUCCAUGGAUUCCGCCGGUACUCCUCAAAAAGAAGAGAUUUUUUUUCAUCAUCAUCUCUCUAUCUUCUCGUUCCUGGUGGAUUUCUUCCCAUGUUCUGGGAUAGCUAGACCUGGUGGUGGCGUAGAGACGAAGAAGAGCAAGCAAUCUGCUAUUGCUAAGCAGAUUGUGCUCAAUCUCUUUGUAAAGAUCUCUACUUUCCUUAGUUUUAUCGUCACUUUCCUUUUUUGAUUUCUUUGGUUGCUCUUAUAGCUGGAUCUUCUAUUGAAAAGCAGAUUGUGCUCAAUCUCUUUAUGACGAGCUCUAAUUUCCCAAAUUUUAUUAUUAUUAUUUUCCUUGAUUUGGAUUUCUUCGGCUGCUCUUGGUUGCUCGAGAGCUGGGUCUGGUGGUGACGUAGAAA